AGUGAACGCUGGCGGUAUGCCUAACACAUGCAAGUCGAACGGCAGCACAGUAAGAGCUUGCUCUUACGGGUGGCGAGUGGCGGACGGGUGAGGAAUACAUCGGAAUCUACUUUUUCGUGGGGGAUAACGUAGGGAAACUUACGCUAAUACCGCAUACGACCUACGGGUGAAAGCAGGGGAUCUUCGGACCUUGCGCGAUUGAAUGAGCCGAUGUCGGAUUAGCUAGUUGGCGGGGUAAAGGCCCACCAAGGCGACGAUCCGUAGCUGGUCUGAGAGGAUGGUCCGACACACUGGAACAGAGACACAGUACCGACUCCUACGGGAGGCCGCAGUGGGGAAUAUUGCACAAUGGGGGCAUGCCUGAUACAGCCAUAUCGCGUGGGUGAAGAACGCGUUCUGGUUGUAAAGCCAUGUUGUUGGGAAAGAAAAGCAGCAGGUUAAUACCCCGCUGUUCUGACGGUACCCAAAGAAUAAGCACCGGCUAACUUCGUG
rnacentral:rRNA from 1 species